UCCUGCCUCUCCAUAACCCUGGCUAACGGCUCCGAUGGGGAGCUCCCGAAGGGAGACCUCCCUACUCCCCCAGCCCCGAGUGCAGCCCCAUCAAAGCGGCAGGGCUCUCGGCAUGGAGAUGGGGCCGCUAAUCCAGUUGCUCUGACCCAUUUUGGGCGAUAGGGUCUGGGGAGGCCCAGGAACGGGGCACGGGGAAGCCCGGAGGUCCCUCCAGCAGGUCGGGCGAGGACGCUAAAGGGCACCUGUUGCGGCGCGCGGUGCGGUGACUGCGGCGCACCUGAGCUAGGCCGGGCCCAGGGCGGCGGCGGGCGCACAGCUGAGCCGAGGUUCCAGGCCAGGCCCGCGCCUUGGGCUUCCGCCGGGUCAGCUGACCGCCCAGUACGGAACUAAAAGGCCGGCGCGAACUGCCUGCCUGCCUGCCGCUGCCGCCUCCGCGCUCCUGCUCCGCGCUCCGCCCUCGGUACCGCGAGUCCGCCCCGUCGCCAUGGCUGGGCUUGUGGUCAGUGGAACUCAAGUGUCCUACAUAGGCCAGGACUGCAGAGAGAUUCCAGAGCACCUCGGCAGGGACUAUGGACACUUUGCAAAGAGGCUCGACCUGAGCUUUAACCUUCUGAGGUAUGUAACCUUCACAAGACGCAGGCCAGGCCUGGGAGGCCCAGUCCACCCAGUAAUGGCCUGCAGAUCAAAGUCAAACGUCCCAGUGGCAUCGCACCCCUAAGGCCUUGACGCUGCUGCACGUGAAUCUCCGGCUCCCCUCUUGGUGCCCUUGAAGACGCAUCAAGCAUAAGCAUCCUGUCUUACGUGUGUCCCUAUGAGAGGGCCGUUGGUGUCCUCUUGUUCUUUUCUCACUGAUGCCCUUGCGGACAAGUGGCAAUACUUUUGGGGAAGGAGUGAGAUAAAGCCAGCUGGUGUCUUGGGGGUGUUAGGAAUGCUUUCCUGGGUAACCCCAUCUCCCAGGUAGCAUGCGUGCGUCUUCUCUCUCUCUUUUUUUUUUUCUUUGCCUUUUAAUGAAUUGGAACCUUAAAUAUUUGUGAUGCUGAUUUCUCCCAGAUGGUAUUUCAGAGUAAUUGAAACACUGCUGCCAUGGGGGUGGAUGGGAGGGAAACUCAAACAACUGUUCCAGUCUUGGCAGAAGGUAAGGGUGCUGGUCUGUAUUCUCCCAGUGGAGACAACGGUUAUUUUCUUCCUAAAAGGUUUUGAAUUGCAACGGGCUUGGGGGCCUGGCCGAGGGAAGGAGGAGGUGCCCGGAAAGCCCGUGUCAGUGGGAUAAAUGGACAGGGAUCUGGGGGGUGGCUUGUCCUAACCGGUACCUCUACACAGAGCUUGGCCCUAAGUGUCCCUCUGAAAGCCGCCUGUCCUCUGAAUGGAGCCAUUGGUCUCGAGUGGAAGGAGAGAUGAGGAGCUGGAAUCCCACCCUAGGGCUCUGAUGCUUUGCUUCUUCCAUCUUGUGGAGUCUCCACUCUGAGUCGGGACCCUCUGGAAUGAGGAGGAUGGGACAAAACUCGGUGCUUGAAGGCACCAGAGGGUAGAGGGGACUGUGAGUUGAAGCUGAGCCGGCAGAGUUUCUUGGUGGUGCUCAGGCGCAAGGCCAGGCUAGGAUGCAUCGUCCCGACAGAAGGGGCCUCCAGGGGCUUGCGUGGGAAGAGUAUGGGCAAUGCACGCGUUCUCUUCCUGACUCCCAAGGGUUUGUAUGCUUCUGGGGAGACGGGGAAACAGAAAAGUCACCAAGAAAUGGAGUGAUGAGAGGAUGCCAAACAAACGCUGCCUCUAAAGAAAUUAAGGGUGGUGUUGGGUCCUUAUGCAAGGAGGGGACAGAAUAUACAGCCUCGAUAGGACAGUGCCUGAGUCACGUGUGCUGCUCAAAGAGCUCCCCCGUGCAGACUCAGAUAAAGUGUUUCUGUGGGCACGGAGAGGCAUUCUUCCCAUGUGACUGGCCUCUGGGGACCUGGGGCUUUGUGGCUCAGGCAGUGGCUGCUUUGCUGCCGGGAGCCCGGAUGUGGUUUUGAGAAGGCUGGCCCUGUGAAGGGGUGUCAGCAGUCAUAGGUCAUGGGACUGGGCUUGUUGGGUCUGAGGAAACGGCCGUCUUUGUUGCUCUCUGGGUCCUGCCUCCCUUGGGCAGAAAAGGGGCUGGGAUUCUAGGAGGCGUGUGGGUGUGGGAUGACAGUUCAGUGGUGAGAAGGGGCUCUUGGCUCUUCUGAGGGGCUGGAUCUAUUGGGAAAUGGCAGGUCUUGGAGCCCGGAAAUUUUUGGUAAAGUGGAGAUUCAGAGGAGGAGAAGUUAACAUUUUUCUUUUUCUGUGUUAAGUUGGAGGAGUGACCGCUUCUGGCCAGGAAGGAACCUAUUCUUAGCCAUGUUGGGUCAGUGUGUGACCUGCAUCCUGGGCUGGGGCAGGAGUGAUCCGUGGAGCCACGAGUUCUGAUGGGAGGGUUUAUAUUAGGACUUGGUUAAACUGGACAGAGUUCCAGACCAGAAGAGAGAAACACAGUGCUGGUUUGACAUGGUUAUGUUGGGACUGGCUUCUCUUAGAUGGUCUUAUUUACCUAACCCCGGGGGGCGAGGGGAGGUGGCACUAUUUCUCUCUGGUGUCAGAGGAAGAUGGAAGCUUACUCAGGCACUGGUCUCUGUCUUUGCCUUCAGGUGGAAUAAAAUUCAAAGAUCAUUUAGAUCCUUAACUCAUUUCUCUUAAAAAAAAAAAAAAAAAAAAAAAA
rnacentral:lncRNA from 1 species